CUACGGAGGCAGCAGUGGGGAAUAUUGGACAAUGGGCGAAAGCCUGAUCCAGCAAUGCCGCGUGAGUGAUGAAGGCCCUAGGGUUGUAAAGCUCUUUUACCCGGGAAGAUAAUGACUGUACCGGGAGAAUAAGCUCCGGCUAACUCCGUGCCAGCAGCCGCGGUAAUA
rnacentral:rRNA from 1 species